GACGAACGCUGGCGGCGUGCCUAAUACAUGCAAGUCGAACGCAGUGGGGACGGGUGAGUAACACGUGGGUAACCUCCCAUCAGAGGGGAUAACACUUGGAAACAGGUGCUAAACCGAUAUUGUUUUAUUUACCCGCGGUGCAUUAGCUAGUUGGUGAGGUAACGGCUCACCAAGGCCACGAUGGAUAGCCGAACUGAGAGGGUGAUCGGCCAGACUGGGACUGAGACACGGCGCAGACUCCUACGGGAGGCAGCAGUAGGGAAUCUUCGGCAAUGGACGAAAGUAUGACCGAGAAACGCCGCGUGAGUGAAGAAGGUUUUCGGAUCGUAAAACACUGUUGUUAGAGAAGAGGGAGAGAAAGAGAAAGCCACGGCUAACUACGUGCCAGCAGACGCGGUAAUAG
rnacentral:rRNA from 1 species